UACAGAGGGGGCAAGCGUUGUUCGGAAUUACUGGGCGUAAAGGGCGCGUAGGCGGCAUUCUAAGUCGAACGUGAAAUCCCUGGGCUCAACCCAGGAACUGCGUCCGAUACUGGAAGGCUUGAAUCCGGGAGAGGGAUGCGGAAUUCCAGGUGUAGCGGUGAAAUGCGUAGAUAUCUGGAGGAACACCGGUGGCGAAGGCGGCAUCCUGGACCGGCAUUGACGCUGAGGCGCGAAAGCCAGGGGAGCAAACGGG
rnacentral:rRNA from 1 species